AUAGCAGAUUGCAUGACAACUAGUGCAGCAAAUAGAUUGAUUUUUCUGCCCCCCUAGAAGAAAAUGUUUGACACAAAGAGGCGACCCAGUGCUUGGACAGACUUUCUGCAUGAGGAUCAUGCUGGACUUAGCACACUCGAGUGCAAGCAGAAGGCGGAAUCCAAAAUGCCAGCUCAACUUGUGGAAUUGCCCAGGCAUUGUUUCUACUUCUGACCGCUCUUUGACCACCAGACACUAUUCCAGACCCUGAACAUAUAUCAGUGAAGGAGACACACAAGAGAUGCCUACUGU